ACUAGUGAUUUUGGAGGGCAAGUCUGGUGCCAGCAGCCGCGGUAAUUCCAGCUCCAAUAGCGUAUAUUAAAGUUGCUGCAGUUAAAAAGCUCGUAGUUGAAUUUCGGGACCGAUAUAUCGGUCGUGCCUCGGUACGUACUGGUAUUUUCGGUUUCUCCCUUCUGACGAACCUUGAUGUCAUUAAUUUGGUGUCUUGGGAAAUCAGGACUGUUACUUUGAAAAAAUUAGAGUGUUUAAAGCAGGCUCACGCUUGAAUACAUUAGCAUGGAAUAAUGAAAUAGGACGUUUGAUUCUAUUUUGUUGGUUUCUAGGAUCGACGUAAUGAUUAAUAGGGAUAGUUGGGGGCAUUAGUAUUCAAUUGUCAGAGGUGAAAUUCUUGGAUUUAUUGAAGACUAACUACUGCGAAAGCAUUUGCCAAGGAUGUUUUCAUUAAUCAAGAACGAAAGUUAGGGGAUCGAAGACGAUCAGAUACCGUCGUAGUCUUAACCAUAAACUAUGCCGACUAGGGAUCGGAUGAUGUUAAUUUUUUAAUGACUCAUUCGGCGCCUUACGGGAAACA
rnacentral:rRNA from 1 species